GCAGCUGAGGCGAAGAGCCUCGAGCGCGCCUAAUUUGAGAUUGCUGAUUUGAGACAGCUGAGGCGGGAGGAAGGACGAAGCGGUCCUUGCUCGCUGCCUCAGGAGAAGGAACCCAAGGGAAGAAGAAGAGGACUCGUCGAAGACCACCUCAGCCACGCUGCCAGACCCCUAGAAAGGAGCGCCGAGGCAGUGGCAGGAAUUAGGGGGCUUCAAGCUCCACGGCCACUUUGCCAUGGGAAAACCUCUGAGGAGAAACUAGGUCGAGGACAAGCCUGAGAGGCACUGCAAGGAAGGGCUCCAUGCCCAGCCUUGGUCCUCACCAAAAAAUUAUCUGAGGGAAGGCUGUCUUCAGGACAGUGCGAAGAAGGGCUUUAUGCCCAGCCUGGGACUCUACCUCAACAAUAAUAGGAAUAGUUUCUGAGGGAAGGCUGUCUUCCGGACAGUGCGAAGAAGGGCUUUAUGCCCAGCCUGGGACUCUACCUCAACAAUAAUAGGAAUAGUUUCUGAGGGAAGGCUGUCUUCCGGACAGUGCGAAGAAGGGCUUUAUGCCCAGCCUGGGACUUUGCCUCAACAAUAAUAGGAAUAGUUUCUGAGGGAAGGCUGUCUUCAGGACAGUGAGAAGGAGGGCUUUAUGCCCAGCCUGGGACUUUGCCUCAACAAUAAUAGGAAUAGUUUCUGAGGGAAGGCUGUCUUCAGGACAGUGCAAAGGAGGGCUUUAUGCCCAGCCUGGGACUUUGCCUCAACAAUAAUAGGAAUAGUUUCUGAGGGAAGGCUGUCUUCAGGACAGUGAGAAGGAGGGCUUUAUGCCCAGCCUGGGACUUUGCCUCAACAAUAAUAAUAGGAAUAGUUUCUGAGGGAAGGCUGUCUUCAGGACAGUGCAAGGAAGGGCUUUAUGCUCAGCCUUGGACUUUACCUCAACGAUAAUAGGAAUAGUUUCUGAGGGAAGGCUGUCUUCAGGACAGUGCAAGGAAGGGCUUUAUGCCCAGCCUGGGACUUUGCCUCAACAAUAAUAGGAAUAGUUUCUGAGGGAAGGCUGUCUUCAGGACAGUGCAAAGGAGGGCUUUAUGCCCAGCCUGGAAUUUUACCUCAACAAUAAUAGGAAUAGUUUCUGAGGGAAGGCUGUCUUCCGGACAGUGCGAAGAAGGGCUUUAUGCCCAGCCUGGGACUUUGCCUCAACAAUAAUAGGAAUAGUUUCUGAGGGAAGGCUGUCUUCAGGACAGUGCAAGGAAGGGCUUUAUGCCCAGCCUUGGACUUUGCCUCAACAAUAAUAGGAAUAGUUUCUGAGGGAAGGCUGUCUUCAGGACAGUGCAAAGGAGGGCUCCAUGCCCAGCCUGGGACUUUGCCUCAACGAUAAUAGGAAUAGUUUCUGAGGGAAGGCUGUCUUCAGGACAGUGCGAAGAAGGGCUCCAUGCCCAGCCUGGGACUUUGCCUCAACAAUAAUAGGAAUAGUUUCUGAGGGAAGGCUGUCUUCAGGACAGUGCAAAGGAGGGCUCUAUGCCCAGCCUGGGACUCUACCUCAGCGAUAAUAGGAAUAGUUUCUGAGGGAAGGCUGUCUUCAGGACAGUGCAAGGAAGGGCUCUAUGCCCAGCCUGGGACUCUACCUCAACAAUAAUAGGAAUAGUUUCUGAGGGAAGGCUGUCUUCAGGACAGUGCAAGGAAGGGCUUUAUGCUCAGCCUUGGACUUUACCUCAACAAUAAUAGUAAUCUCUGUUGCCUCAGGAAAAGGAGGAAACCACUUAAGUCAUGCUACUCUGUCAGAAUUUUUUUUUUAAUGUGUGUGAGAAUGUGGGCUUCAAGCCCCCUGCCAGAAAACAGUCUCUGAGGGGAAAUGGAAUUUCUAAGUGGGGAGUUCACCUCUCUGCUUGUGCUUCAUCUUGCCUAAAAACCUCAACUCCCCUCUGAGGAUGCUGCAGCCGUGCUGACGUGUACAAAAGCCCUGCCACCUCAUUGCCCACAUUUAUCGCAUUUUGUCUGCAGAGGGUAAAACGCGACAGAUUCUCCCCGUCCUCAGAACGCUGGGGCGCCACAGUCUUCUGCAUCACGGUGAAAACCUGUCCACUAUUAGAGCGUUCUUUCUCUCUGCAUACUAAUGUUAUAACGGUGGACAGCGUAGGGCAGGACUUCUGAGCGCAACGGCACAGGGGCUGUAGCAGAGAAUCCCGUGAGGCCUGGGGCUGUGUAACAACAGACUGGGCCAUUUUAGUCUGAGGCUGUCAAAAGAAACCUGAGACUUUUUUAUUCUCCCGACAGCUGUGUAAGGCAGCAUGACUCCUAAGAUAGUAGCUGGCUUGAAUGGAACACCCUCCAUGCGUGUUAGAAGCUUCAGGCUUCUAGAUUCUGCCAACACCUUUCUGAGGCAGCAUGAUCUCUAAAUCUUCCAGUGGGCUUGAAUGGAACAUGCUUCAUGCAUGUGGGAAGCUUCAGGCUUCUAGAUUCUCUCAACUGAAGAGAGAAUUCUCUAAUUAGCCUCUCAGAUUUGGUUUAAUGAGUCAUUCGUUUUUAUCUUUUUAUAUCUGUGAACUGCAAUAGCCAUCUAGGUCAGGCGGUAUAAAAACCUAAAACAUAACACAGCUGUGGGAGGCAGUACAAUCUCUAUUAUGGUGGCUGGCUUGUAAGGAAGACGCUUCAUGUAUGUUAGAAAAAUCAGGCAUCUUUAUAAUUCUGCUAGCCUUAUCAGGCAGCAUCUCCGAUUUAGUGGCUGACUGGAAUGAAUACACUUCAUGUGUGUUCUGUUCUACCCCCUCAACAACGCUUUGUGGCAGCUUUGGCAAAAAGAAAUAGAAUCGGCGCAUGUGUCCAAUAACUACUAUGCCUGAGUAGUGCAUUUGGAACAUUUUCUCUUCCCAAGAGACCUGACUGGCAAGGAAAGUCUCAAAAACAGAGAAUGGAGCAACAAAAAAAGGAAACCCAGACUUCAAGAAACAACCAAAGGAGGCAACGUCACAGAAACCAGGAAGACAUGAAAGCAGCCAACCACACACACACACGAAGCUUCAGGCUACCUUAUUGUCCCAAGAAUAAUAAAUGUUCUGUGGGCAGCUCACAACACCACAUGGCAAAACAUCCAAUAAACACACAUACAACAUGACAGACAAAGCACAACACAAAACAGCUGUGGCAGGCAGCAUCACCUCUCAAAUAGUGACCACCUUUAAUGCAACACACUUCAUGCGUGUUAGAAGCUUCAGGCUUCUUUAUUCUCCCAAACAACUUUGAAGGGCUACAGACAGGCUGCCUUUAAUGGAAAAUGCUUCAUGCAUGUUCCAUUGUAUCCUCUUGACAACGCAUCAUAGCGAAUUUGGCAAGAAGAAACCGAGUCGGCCCAUGUGUCCCAAAGACUUCUGUGCCUGAGUUUGCUUCUGGACCAUUUUCUCCUCCCAAGAGGCCUACCUGGCAGAUUUCUUUCCUCCAGACUGCAGGAAAGAAGUAAAGGAGUCUCAAGAGAGAACAAGAAGAAGCAACAACAUGCAAUAUAAGUCAAGCCCUAGAAGAUACUGAAUAUAGGGGCUCUCCACAGGAAUCCCAGGCUUCUUUAUUCUCCCACCAACUUUGUCAGGCAUCAUCAUCAGAAAUGGUGGCUGUCCUGAAUUUAACAUCCUUCUUGCGUGUUGGAAGCUUCAGGCUUCUAUAUUCUCUCCAUGGAUUUGUUGGGCAGCGUCAUCUCUAAGAUGGUGGCUGUCUUGAAUGGAAUGUGCUUCAUGCGUGUUCCAUUCUGUCCCCUGAGCAAUGGUUUGGCAAGAAGAAACAGAAUUGGUGCACCUUUCUCAAGGACCUCCAUGCCCGAGUGGUGAUGUUGAAACGUUUUAUUAUUAUCCUAUUAUCUUACAAAUUUGAUACUUAACGCAAUUCAAAAUAAAUGACAUAACUUGCUCUUUUCCAACAGAUUUCAGGAAAGAAUGAAAGAAGGCAAUGACACACAAGUCAAGAAAGAACAGCAAGCAGCUCGGGCAGGAACGGAAGAAGGCAACAAGAGAGUCAGCCUUGGGGCUGCAGGAUUCAAGGCCCAGAAAUCACAAAAUUUCUGGGGUUGUCAACAGAAGCUUCAGGUUUCUUUCUUUUUUCAACAGAAGUGUGAGGCAGCAUAAACUCUUUAAGAUGGUGGCUCUCUUGAAUGGAACAUGCUUUGUGAGGGUUGCUUUCUGUCCUCUCAGUAAGCUUUUGCGGUAAGUUUUGGCACAAAGAAAGAAGAGUUGGCACAUUUUUCCUUACAACUUCCAUGCUUGGGUGCUGACGUUUGAAUGAAGUGGCCUCUGUGAUAGGUAAGGAUCAGAGACAGAGAUUGGACCAAGGUGAAGUGCACACAAGUGAACAAAAAGAGAACUCUCGGGGUAUAAGGGCUGCCUAGUGUAAAAAUGGGUUUAAAAUGGCCCACAGUUGAAAAUAAAAGUUGUAUCUUGUUCUUUCCCAACAGAUUUCAAGUAACAGUGCAAGGAGGCUACAAAAGUCAAGCCAGGCUCAACCGAUCUCGUUUGUCAUGAGGAAGAACUUCAUCAAAAAUACCUGACAAAUCUCUAAGACAGUGGCUCAUAUGAAGAGGAACAUGCUUCAUUCAUAUUGCAUUCUAUCCUCAGAAAGUUCUGUGAGACCCGGGGCUAUGUCACUCAAGGCUACUGGCUUGAGUUCCUUCAGUCUCUAAAAACUGUAAAUCCAGGAGCUGUAGAACUGAUGCUUCAUGUGUGUUCUCCCAACAGCUUUGUGGACCAUCAUGAUCUCUGAAACGGUGGCUGGCUGGCAAGGAAAGGAACAUGCUUUGUCUUCCCAGGUACGUUCUGCAGCAUGCCUGGCAGGAAGAAAGAGUUCACGCACAUUUCGCAGUGAUCUCUAUUCCUGAGUGGUGAUUUUGCUUCAAAGACAGAAUUAAAAAGAUGGUGUGCCUGAAAGACAGAGACAGUACCAAGGUAAAGACCAGCCAACAAAAAGGGAACUCUCAGGGUGUAACGGAAAGGUGUACCAAUGCCUUAUGACGAGGUUCCUCAUCAGAAGAAUAUAUACAAGAUCUAUAUCGUCAGGAGAUGACAAGCAGACUAACUUCCUCAAUAAUACCACUCAUGAGUAAUUAAAAUUUCAAGAAAGAAUGAAAGGAGGCAACAAUGCAGAAGCCAUGUCAAGCAAAACUUUGUGAGCCCUUUUGGGUCAAAGAGCCCCCUUCUUUUCUUACAUAAAUCACUUUGAGAACACCUUGUUGAAAAGUGGCGUAUAAAUAUUUGUAAUCAUCAUAAUAAUUGUGCUAUCAGUUUAAGGCUCUCUUUCAGAUAAAUAUCUAAGACACUGGCUGUAACCAGAGGCUUCAAGCAUGAGUUUCUUACUUGCUUUAUCUUCAGAGAGCCCUGGGAGGUAAGUUAGUUUGGCAUAUGCUUUGCUGAUGAACUGUUAAUGCCUAAUAAAGAAAGAAAUAUACAAAUAAUAUUUCUGUCCUACACAUUCAACACACUGCUGCUAAACCUAUCACUUCUAAAUGCCACCCUGUUCUACUAAAUAGAAGAAGAAAAAACACCUGAAACACUACUAAAUGCAAAAUAAAAUAAAAUAAAAAUAAGAAAUAAACCCACUACUAAAUGCAAAAGACUCCAACCUCACUAAUAAAUGCAAAACCACACAGAUAAGCGCAAUAAAAAGAAUUAAACAAGAACCACAGAUAAAACAGACAUAACACAACAACCAGGAUUAAAAACAUUAAAACGGGAAACCCAGUUACAAGCACCAUUAAAAUUACAAUAUUUGAAACUGAGAUUAGAGGAAAAGUCAAAUUUUUCUUUGGGUAAAUUUUCUGAGAUGGCUCCUUUGUGUGAGUAUAUUUUCAGUGGAUCUGAAAAAUAUCUUCGUAAUGUUUGGAACUAACACUAAUAUUUAACACUUGUACAUUUAAGGAUAUUUUGUGGUGCAUUUUGAAUGUUGAUAUAUAAAUCAGUUCCAAAGAAGAGAGAUUAAAUAUUAAUGUGUCUUUAGCUUUUUUUUUUUUUAAACCCCAGCAGGUUGAUCUAAAUGGAUUGUUACAUGGAGUAUAGAUGAAUUCCUCAGAAAAUCAGAAGUGUAUAAAAAUGGCUAAUGUCAAAGUGGUCGCUUUUACCUGGACUGCCAUGUAGAUUGUAGGUGAAUCCCCCACUUAGGAGGAUAUGGCAAGAAAUCAGAAGUGUAUAAAAAUGGCUAAUGUCAAAAAGGUACGUAUUCAGCCAUGUUGAAAGUUCCAUCCCAGCAGGUUGCUUUUACCUGAACUGCCAUGUAGAUUGUGGGUGAAUCCCCCACUUAGGAGGAUAUGGCAAGAAAUCAAAGUGUAUAAAAAUGGCUAAUGUCAAAAAGGUACGUAUUCAGCCAUGUUGAAAGUUCCAUCCCAGCAGGUUGCUUUUACCUGAACUGCCAUGUAGAUUGUGGGUGAAUCCCCACUUAGGAGGAUAUGGCAAGAAAUCAAAGUGUAUAAAAAUGGCUAAUGUCAAAAAGGUACGUAUUCAUGUUUAGAUCUUUUUUCCAGAUAUUCUUUUUCCCUAGCAGGUUGGUUUAUAUGCAUUGCUAUGUAAACUGGGGAUGAAUUUAGGUUUCAUGUGAAUAUCCUACCCCGGAGGGCAGACUGUUUAAAAAUGCCUGUCAGUGAUAUGUAUUGACUUAUAUUUAGAUGUGGUUUUUUUGCUUAUAAGGAUGUUGGAUGUACAAUUUCAAGCUGUGUAAACUAGACUCUCUAGCUGCUUUUCCUCCCAAAACAGACCUGUGUGGACAUAUUGCAAAUUGUUCUUACUGCAAUAUCGUAGGGACGUAGGAGCUGAAGUCCUACGCUCAGGGUGAAGUGCUGGUAACCUCUCCCCUGUAGUUUCAGCAGUGGCUGCAAUGGGCUGUGAUGCUUCCUUGGUCUACAUUAUUGAUGGACAUGGACAGGGUCAUCUCGUAUUACUUGGAAAUUGUGUUUUCUUUAUGUGAACAAUAUGUGGAUUUAAUACUCUGUAAAACAUUCAUGUGGAACCCGGGUUCUUCUUUUCUGUAAUGUGUAUAUUAAAUGUUUGGCCUAGUCAAAUGUUUGAAAGAAGUUAUUGUAAAAGUAAAAGACUUGAGUUCACCUUG